rnacentral:rRNA from 1 species
AGGGUGUAAACGCUGCAGACUUGGUGUUGGAGGCCCUUUGGGGGCAUUCAGUGCCGGAGAGAAGUUGCUAAGUCUGCUACUUGGGGAGUACGUCCGCAAGGAUGAAACUUAAAGGAAUUGGCGGGGGAGGCACCGCAACGGGAGGAGCGUGCGGUUUAAUUGGAUUCAACACCGUAAAACUCACCAGGGAAGACUGUUACAUGAAGGCCGAGAUGAAGACUCUGCUAGAUUUUCAGAGAGGUGCAUGGCGUCAGUGACU